ACUGGGGUGAAGUCGUAACAAGGUAACCGUAGGGGAACCUGCGGUUGGAUCACCUCCUUAACUUAAAGAAGC
rnacentral:rRNA from 1 species